GUUUUAAUAGUUUAUAAAAAACACCGGUCUUGUAAAUCGGAAAAGAAAAUUAUUUCUUAAAGCU
rnacentral:tRNA from 1 species